GGUCGGCGCCUGUCGUCAGAUCCGCAAAGCAUUUCGGGCUACUGGAGGCUGAUUCGCCCAAUAAUACAAACAAGCCGCCAGUCACAUUGGAAUCGGCUGAACAUGCGAAAAGCCGCCUGCUUAUGAAUUAACAUAAAUUUAGCCUCCAUGAAUGCAUGCUUUUAUUAUUUCCUCACUCUUUUGGAAGUGGCAGUAUAUAAUCGCGUAUGAACUGGGAUAAAAUAUCCAGCACACGUGACAAAUAGCUAAUCCUACAAUAGGAAACACACAGUAACACUCCAGUAUGGCGGACAGUUUGAUGAGUAAAGCAGCCACUAUGGAGAUUCCUAUUAACAGUAAUGGGGACUCUAGGAAUCUGGCAGAAGAUGACAGCCUGGAGCAGGCUGCAAAGAUUCAGUGGAGCUUAAGAGAGAAGGUAGGGAGUCCCACAGGCCUCAGGGUGAGAAGGAACACUGGGAAGGGUGGCAGAGUGUGUGUGUGUGUGUGUGUGUGUGUAUGCCUGCACGUGUAUGUCUUUCCAGCAGAUAACGAUUUUAGUUCUCCCCAU